AAUUGUAAAAAUGAUUACCCUGAACGGUGGAUCACUUGGCUCGUGGGUCGAUGAAGAACGCAGCUAAUGCGCGUCAACUGGAACUGC
rnacentral:rRNA from 1 species